GGAUGAACGCUGGCGGCGUGCCUAAUACAUGCAAGUCGAGCGAACAGACGAGGAGCUUGCUCCUCUGACGUUAGCGGCGGACGGGUGAGUAACACGCGGAUAACCUACCUAUAAGACUGGGAUAACUUCGGGAAACCGGAGCUAAUACCGGAUAAUAUAUUGAACCGCAUGGUUCAAUAGUGAAAGACGGUUUUGCUGUCACUUAUAGAUGGAUCCGCGCCGCAUUAGCUAGUUGGUAAGGUAACGGCUUACCAAGGCAACGAUGCGUAGCCGACCUGAGAGGGUGAUCGGCCACACUGGAACUGAGACACGGUCCAGACUCCUACGGGAGGCAGCAGUAGGGAAUCUUCCGCAAUGGGCGAAAGCUUGACGGAGCAACGCCGCGUGAGUGAUGAAGGUCUUCGGAUCGUAAAACUCUGUUAUUAGGGAAGAACAAAUGUGUAAGUAACUAUGCACGUCUUGACGGUACCUAAUCAGAAAGCCACGGCUAACUACGUG
rnacentral:rRNA from 1 species